CGGCAGCGAAGUUGGUGACGUCAAGCUUCCAAGAAAAGCCCUACACCCGUUAAGGCAUCAUGGCCUGUACCCGAAACCGACACAGGUGGGGUGGUAGAGAAUACCGAGGGGCGCGAGGUAACUCUCUCUAAGGAACUCGGCAAAAUGGCCCCGUAACUUAGGGAGAAGGGGUGCCAGCGAGAGCUGGUCGCAGUGAAGAGGCCCAGGUGACUGUUUACCAAAAACACAGGUCUCCGCUAAGUCGCAAGACGAUGUAUGGGGGCUGACGCCUGCCCAGUGCCGGAAGGUUAAGGAAGCUGGUCAGCGCAAGCGAAGCUAGCGACUGAAGCCCCGGUGAACGGCGGCCGUAACUAUAACGGUCCUAAGGUAGCGAAAUUCCUUGUCGGGUAAGUUCCGUCCCGCACGAAAGGCGUAACGAUCUGGGCGCUGUCUCGGAGAGAGGCUCGGCGAAAUAGAAUUGUCUGUGAAGAUGCGGACUACGUGCACCCGGACAGAAAGACCCUAUGAAGCUUUACUGUAGCUUGGUAUUGUGCUCGGGCUCGGAAUGCGCAGGAUAGGUGGGAGGCUUGGAUCCAUUGCUUGCGGGUGAUGGUGAGCCACUGGUGAGAUACCACUCUUUCCGAGCUAGAGUUCUAACCCUCGCCCGUUAUCCGGGGAGGGGACAGUAUCAGGUGGGCAGUUUGACUGGGGCGGUCGCCUCCUAAAAGGUAACGGAGGCGUGCAAAGGUUCCCUCAGGCUGGUUGGAAAUCAGCCGACGAGUGCAAAGGCAGAAGGGAGCUUGACUGUGAGACCUACAAGUCGAACAGGGACGAAAGUCGGCCUUAGUGAUCCGACGGUUCUGCGUGGAAGGGCCGUCGCUCAACGGAUAAAAGUUACUCUAGGAUAACAGGCUGAUCUCCCCCAAGAGUUCACAUCGACGGGGAGGUUUGGCACCUCGAUGUCGGCUCAUCGCAACCUGGGGCUGAAGUCGGUCCCAAGGGUUGGGCUGUUCGCCCAUUAAAGCGGUACGCGAGCUGGGUUCAGAACGUCGUGAGACAGUUCGGUCCAUAUCCGGUGCACGCGCAGGAAUAUUGAGAGGAUUUCUCCCUAGUACGAGAGGACCGGGAGGAACGCACCUCUGGUGUGCCAGUUAUCGUGCCAACGGUAAACGCUGGGUAGCCAUGUGCGGAGAGGAUAACCGCUGAAAGCAUCUAAGUGGGAAGCCCACCUCAAGAUGAGUAUUCCCAUGGCAAAAGCCAGUAAGGUCACGGGAAGGUUACCCGUUGAUAGGCUCUACGUGGAAGCGCAGCAAUGCGUGAAGCGGAGGAGUACUAAUAGACCGAGGGCUUGACC
rnacentral:rRNA from 1 species